GAUGAACGCUGGCGGCGUGCUUAACACAUGCAAGUCGAACGGUGAAGCAGGGGCUUGCUCUUGUGGAUCAGUGGCGAACGGGUGAGUAACACGUGAGCAACCUGCCCCUGACUCUGGGAUAAGCGCUGGAAACGGCGUCUAAUACUGGAUAUGUGAUGUGACCGCAUGGUCUGCAUCUGGAAAGAAUUUCGGUUGGGGAUGGGCUCGCGGCCUAUCAGCUUGUUGGUGAGGUAAUGGCUCACCAAGGCGUCGACGGGUAGCCGGCCUGAGAGGGUGACCGGACACACUGGGACUGAGACACGGCCCAGACUCCGACGGGAGGCAGCAGUGGGGAAUAUUGCACAAUGGGCGGAAGCCUGAUGCAGCAACGCCGCGUGAGGGAUGACGGCCUUCGGGUUGUAAACCUCUUUUAGCAGGGAAGAAGCGAAAGUGACGGUACCUGCAGAAAAAGCACCGGCUAACUACGUGCCAGCAGCCGCAGUAA
rnacentral:rRNA from 1 species